rnacentral:rRNA from 1 species
CAGUCGCCGCGGUAAGACAGAGGAUGCAAGCGUUAUCCGGAAUUACUGGGCGUAAAGCGUGCGUAGGUGGUGGUUUAAGUCCGUUGUGAAAGCCCUGGGCUCAACCUGGGAAUUGCAGUGGAUACUGGGUCACUAGAGUGUGGUAGAGGAUAGUGGAAUUUCCGGUGUAGCAGUGAAAUGCGUAGAGAUCGGAAGGAACAUCUGUGGCGAAGGCGACUAUCUGGGCCAACACUGACACUGUGGCACGAAAGCGUGGGGAGCAAACAGGAUUAGAUACCCCUGUAGUCCCUGUCUCUUAUAC